rnacentral:piRNA from 1 species
UCGGUGAAUUAAUUCGGUGUC